AUUGAACGCUGGCGGCAGGCUUAACACAUGCAAGUCGAGCGGAGCGAGGGUGCUUGCACCUUAGCUUAGCGGCGGACGGGUGAGUAAUGCUUAGGAAUCUGCCUAUUAGUGGGGGACAACAUUCCGAAAGGAAUGCUAAUACCGCAUACGCCCUACGGGGGAAAGCAGGGGAUCUUCGGACCUUGCGCUAAUAGAUGAGCCUAAGUCGGAUUAGCUAGUUGGUGGGGUAAAGGCGUACCAAGGCGACGAUCUGUAGCGGGUCUGAGAGGAUGAUCCGCCACACUGGGACUGAGACACGGCCCAGACUCCUACGGGAGGCAGCAGUGGGAAUAUUGGACAAUGGGCGGAAGCCUGAUCCAGCCAUGCCGCGUGUGUGAAGAAGGCCUUUUGGUUGUAAAGCACUUUAAGCGAGGAGGAGGCUACUUAGAUUAAUACUCUGGGAUAGUGGACGUUACUCGCAGAAUAAGCACCGGCUAACUCUGUGCCAGCAGCCGCCGUAACAC
rnacentral:rRNA from 1 species